rnacentral:rRNA from 1 species
GGAAUUUGAAUAUGACUAGAUUGAACGCUGGCGGCAGGCCUAACACAUGCAAGUCGAACGGUAACAGGAAGCAGCUUGCUGCUUCGCUGACGAGUGGCGGACGGGUGAGUAAUGUCUGGGAAACUGCCUGAUGGAGGGGGAUAACUACUGGAAACGGUGGCUAAUACCGCAUAACGUCGCAAGACCAAAGAGGGGGACCUUCGGGCCUCUUGCCAUCAGAUGUGCCCAGAUGGGAUUAGCUUGUUGGUGAGGUAACGGCUCACCAAGGCGACGAUCCCUAGCUGGUCUGAGAGGAUGACCAGCCACACUGGAACUGAGACACGGUCCAGACUCCUACGGGAGGCAGCAGUGGGGAAUAUUGCACAAUGGGCGCAAGCCUGAUGCAGCCAUGCCGCGUGUAUGAAGAAGGCCUUCGGGUUGUAAAGUACUUUCAGCGGGGAGGAAGGUGUUGUGGUUAAUAACCGCAGCAAUUGACGUUACCCGCAGAAGAAGCACCGGCUAACUCCGUGCCAGCCGCCGCGGUAAUUCCCCCUGGCGA